GCCCUAAAUCUCUCCAGUGGAGGAUUCUAACUACCCUCCAGGUUUCAGUAGUUUGGAUGGUAUCAAAUCGAUAUAAUAAUUAUGCAAUGUACAUACACUUCCCAGGUUCAAAGUUUUAAUAAUAUUUUUUCCUUCUCUUUUUCUUCUUAUGAUGCUUGUAAUUGCAGGGCCUGUUGUUGCAGGUGUGGUGGGAAUCACAAGGCCACGAUAUUGCCUGUUUGGAGACACUGUGAAUACAGCUUCAAGGAUGGAAAGUACCAGUUUACCUCUUCAAAUCCAUGUCUCUAUGAUCACAGCAAGUGCUCUCCAAUCAAUUGGAGGUUAUGAUUUGCAAGAAAGAGGAAGCAUAAAAAUAAAGGGUAAAGGACAACAAAGAACAUUUUGGCUCAGAGGAAAAACUGGCUUUAACAUGCCUUUGCCAGCAUUCAGCGAAAAUGUGGAAACUCACCCAAAGGGAUAUGUGGAAAUGGGAC